rnacentral:rRNA from 1 species
CCUACGGGUGGCAGCAGUGGGGAAUAUUGCACAAUGGGGGAAACCCUGAUGCAGCGACGCCGCAUGAGUGAAGAAGUAUUUCGGUAUGUAAAGCUCUAUCAGCAGGGAAGAAAAUGACGGUACCUGAUUAAGAAGCCCCGGAUAACUACGUGCCAGCAGCCGCGGUUAAACGUAGGGGGCAAGCGUUAUCCGGAUUUACUGCGUGGAAAGGGAGCGUAGACGGCAGAACAAGUCUGGAGUGAAAUGGCGGGGCUUAACCCCGGAGCUGCGUUGGAAACUGUGCAGCUAGAGUGCAGGAGAGGUAAGUGGAAUUCCUAGUGUAGCGGUGAAAUGCGUAGAUAUUAGGAGGAACACCAGUGGCGAAGGCGGCUUACUGGACUGUAACUGACGUUGAGCCUCGAAAGCGUGGGGAGCAAACAGGAUUAGAUACCCUAGUAGUC